CUGAGUGAUGGGGUCUGAUGAAUAGUAGCAAUGGUGACUGAUGUAAUGGCCAGGAGAUGGCUUUGAAGGUUAAUUCGUUAACCACUUGGGUGAGAUCAAUGAGUUUCUUCCUCUGGCCUUGUCCAGGCAUUGACCUGCAAGCUCCUCCUGGUUUCCGAGUAAGGACAUUCUUGAUCCCUGCAGAAACAAAGCAUUCCUCCUUGUCCCCGCCCCGGCCAAGAAUCCACAUCUGCCUCCCAGGCCUUCUUCAGCUCCGGAAUUCAAGCCCACACCCGGCAGCAGCCACAAGGCAACUUCACUUUAACGGGUGCUUUGACUUGGGUUCGCUGCUAACAAAAAUGGGCCCCUUUGCUCAGUGAGGGAGCCAGUGAAGAGUCCGGCACGGUGGCGCAGCGGAUAAAACAGCUGCGUUACAGCGCCCGAGACACGGGUUCAAUCCUGACUGUGUGGAGUUUGCAUGUUCUUCCCUUGGAUUUGAUUCCACAUCCCAAAGGCUCUGAGAUGGCUCUACAUUUUAAUGCAAACCACCUCUAUCUGCUACAAGGUCCUGACUUGGGACAACAUAUUCAAAAUUAUGCCAUUCUGCAGCAGAAAACUGUGCUCAACAGGAAACCAAAUCGUACUUUCACUUACGGAGCACCAGAAGAUGAGUGCAACAUGCUCAAAAGAGCAACAUUGGGAGGUACUGAAUAGGUUUAUACCUACAGGGUAAAAGCAUACUUUUCAAAAAACAAAGAUGCAGAAGACUAAAGAAAUAUAGAAGCUCGAAAGUAAAAGAGAAAAAUGUUAACAGAUCCUGCCAACUGAAAAAAAAAUGCAAAGAACACCAAAAGGUGAAAAAGCAAUGAGCUUCAAAUAAAAAUGUGCCCACCUGCAUACGUUACAGCAACUAGCAAAGCAUCAUUAAAAAUAAAAAGUACCAUUUUAUUAGGACAUCAUAGGCAUUCAGGAUAAAGUAUGAAGUAUUGAAAAAUUGCAACUGAUAUUGCAACUGAAAAUAAAGACCUGGUGAAUAUGCCAAUCAGUCACCUUGUGCCAUUGCUUUCAGAGAUAAGAGGAUAACACACCAGAUGUUCCUAGGAAAUUAAGGUGGGAUGGGCACUCAGCAAAAUCAAUCUAACUAAUAGUGAAUAAAAUAACUGUUGAAGACAAGUCCCUCAUACCAAAUGGUUUCCUUCCUGGAAAGAGAAGAGAACACUACACAUUAAAGUAUACUUUUCCAAGUACUGCUGGACCAGAACAGCUCACGAGGACAGAAAUACUGUAUUCCAUCCCGAUGAAAUGCAGAAGAGGUCAGCAGGGAAUCAUAGACUAGGUAACCAAACAUCUUUUGUCAGGCAGCAAUAAGAUGAAUAAAGGACAGCGAGAGUGUAUAUCUCAAAGAUGUUUAGUGAACAGACGGUCUCGGCGUGGAUAUAUUGGAUAAGUCAUGCUUGAUUAAAAUGAUGACAUUUUUGGACAAGGCAAUGCUAAUAGGUAUAAUUUUAUGGAUUCUUGAAAGGCAUCUGUUAAAUAUCCUUGUACCUAAUGUUGAAAUUCAUGAAAUUGUGGAUACCUCUCACCAUAAGUUGUUCCAGAGUUUUGUGUAGCCUUUAAUUAUUUACUGAUUAAAAUAGACAUUUUA